GCCUCAUAACAAAUCACAAUUGUUUCUUAUCUGUUUUGAUUUAUAUAAGUACCUUAGCUGAAUUAUCCAAUGGAUGUAUGGCCCUUGACUGUGUUUUUCCUUUCCAAAUCAUCAACAGAACACAACCUUUAGGCUUCACAAGGAUCAUUCAUGAAAGGAAUAUGAUUAUAUAAGCUUUUUUUUGGUCUGAUUAUUAUAUAAGCUAAUUGGCAAUUUGUUUUCAGUUGGAAUUAUUGUGGGUUGGACAUGAUUGGUUGUGCACUGUGCAUCUUUUAGCCUUUUGUUUUGGAUGCUGGGCAUCUUGCUAGUUUAAUUGAAGUUUUGACCUUUCUCUUGCUAUUAAAUCAUCCUCAAUCAUUGGAAACUUGGUAAUAUUCUCAGCCUUCCCUUCCAUUUCAUAGAAUCGGGAUCCUCUCCUCAUAGAGAGCUUCCUGAUACUUCCUCAUAAGAAGAUCCUGGCCGUUCAUUUUUAUUCAACGGAACCAGAAAUUCUCGUCAGGCGUCCUCCUCGACCCGCCGCCAGCAUCUUCCCUCGGCAUUUGGACUCUUUUUCUCUCCCUGGCUAGUGAGCUAGAAGAAUGAGAUCCCUCUUGCGUCAUUUUUCUCAGGUCUUGUGUGUGAGAGAAAGGCCAUCAGUAGAAGCAUGAGCUCGCUAAUUCAAGGAAAAACUUGUCAGAGGUUGUGAAACAGUUUUUUCAGAAUAGUAGUGAUGCUGCCGUUAAAUUACAUUGCAAUUUGGAGAUCUUGAUUGAAGUCAGAAUCUUCCCUACUUGGCUGAACUUCAAUUCCAUCGUGGAAAAGAUUUUGUAACUUGGUCCUUGCUGUUUCUAAAUGCAUUAUCAAGUUCUAAGUACGUUGUAAUAUAUAAGUUAUAGAACUGAAAAUAUGUUCGACUCCUAGUAACUUGUAGCUUUCCACUCUAAUUACAAAAAGUGAUAUGAGAUGAAAUAUUUGGCUG